ensembl:snRNA RNU6-416P RNA, U6 small nuclear 416, pseudogene
GUGGGCCACCACACCCAGCCACAUAUACUAAAACAUUAUACAGAGGUCAGCAUGGCCCCUUAGCAAGGAUGACUUGCAAAUUCGUGAAGCUUUCCAUAUUUUU